rnacentral:snoRNA from 1 species
CUGCAAGAGACUUAGAAAAAAAAAGAAUCUAAAAAUGUACAGCGGCUGCCAACAGCAGCCUCCUUGGUAGUGUAUGCAACCUGUUGUCUGUAUGGAUUGCCCUAUGGGACCUUGAAGGUAGUA